rnacentral:rRNA from 1 species
UACAGAGGGUGCGAGCGUUGUUCGGAAUUAUUGGGCGUAAAGCGCUUGUAGGCGGCUUGUUAAGUUCCGUGUGAAAUCCCCAGGCUUAACCUGGGAAGUGCGCGGAAAACUGGCGAGCUUGAGUGCCGGAGAGGGUCGCGGAAUUCCCGGUGUAGAGGUGAAAUUCGUAGAUAUCUGGAGGAACACCGGUGGCGAAGGCGGCAUCCUGGACCGGCAUUGACGCUGAGGAGCGAAAGCCAGGGGAGCAAACGGG